rnacentral:rRNA from 1 species
UACGGAGGGUGCGAGCGUUGUCCGGAAUCACUGGGCGUAAAGGGCGCGUAGGCGGCUUUUCAAGUCGGGGGUGAAAGCCUGUGGCUCAACCACAGAAUUGCCUUCGAUACUGUUAGGCUUGAGACCGGAAGAGGUGAGUGGAACUGCGAGUGUAGAGGUGAAAUUCGUAGAUAUUCGCAAGAACACCAGUGGCGAAGGCGGCUCACUGGUCCGGUUCUGACGCUGAGGCGCGAAAGCGUGGGGAGCAAACAGG